GACGAACGCUGGCGGCGUGCCUAAUACAUGCAAGUAGAACGCACAGUUUAUACCGUAGCUUGCUCCACCAUAGACUGUGAGUUGCGAACGGGUGAGUAACGCGUAGGUAACCUGCCUGGUAGCGGGGGAUAACUAUUGGAAACGAUAGCUAAUACCGCAUAAUAUUAAUUAUUGCAUGAUAAUUAAUUGAAAGGUGCAAUUGCACCACUACCAGAUGGACCUGCGUUGUAUUAGCUAGUAGGUGAGGUAACGGCUCACCUAGGCGACGAUACAUAGCCGACCUGAGAGGGUGAUCGGCCACACUGGGACUGAGACACGGCCCAGACUCCUACGGGGGGCAGCAGUAGGGAAUCUUCGGCAAUGGACGAAAGUCUGACCGAGCAACGCCGCGUGAGUGAAGAAGGUUUUCGGAUCGUAAAGCUCGGUUGUAAGAGAAGAACGGGUGUGAGAGUGGAAAGUUCACAAUGUGACGGUAUCUUACCAGAAAGGGACGGCUAACUACGUG
rnacentral:rRNA from 1 species